UACGUAGGGUGCGAGCGUUAAUCGGAAUUACUGGGCGUAAAGCGUGCGCAGGCGGUUUUGUAAGCCAGAUGUGAAAUCCCCCGGGCUUAACCUGGGAAUGGCAUUUGGGACUGCAAGGCUUGAGUUUGGCAGAGGAGACUGGAAUUCCUGGUGUAGCAGUGAAAUGCGUAGAUAUCAGGAGGAAUACCGAUGGCGAAGGCAGGUCUCUGGGCUAGAACUGACGCUCAUGCACGAAAGCGUGGGGGAGCAAACAGG
rnacentral:rRNA from 1 species